rnacentral:rRNA from 1 species
CAAAGGCCCCAAAGGAAGCCACGGCUAACUCUGUGCCAGCAGCCGCGGUAAUACAGAGGUGGCAAGCGUUGUUCGGUAUUAUUGGGCGUAAAGAGCACGUAGGUGGUUCUGUAAGUCAGAUGUGAAAGCCUUCUGUUCAAAGGAAGAACGGCAUCUGAAACUACAGAUCUUGAGUGUAGGAGGGGAGAGUGGAACUUCUGGUGGAGCGGUGAAAUGCGUAGAUAUCAGAAGGAACGCCGGCGGCGAAAGCGACUCUCUGGCCUAUUACUGACACUGAGUGUGCGAAAGUUAGGGGAGCAAACGGGAUUAGAUACCCCGGUAGUCCUAACUGUAAA